AAGUCGUAACAAGGUUUCCCGGAAGGAUCAUUAACACGUAUCCAACGUUAAAACCCCCCGUGGGACUUCUGUAAGAGUGUGCUUGUAGCGCGAGGCAAGUGGCCUGGCAUCCUUGUCUGAAAGUGUCAAGUGGCGCAGUCACGAUCGCCACGGCCGACCGGGUCACCGGGCUCUCGCCCCUUUGUCGCCUUUGCCUGAAAACGGGCCUGCGCUUAAUUGUGCGGCCAUAAACCGAACAACUGUUAACAAUGGAUAUCUUGGUUCUC
rnacentral:misc_RNA from 1 species